CCCAUCUUCCUACUGGCUAGCCUGAAAGCCGACUCUAUAAAGAAGCCCUUUGCACAGCGCUGCCAAGACUUCGUUCAAGUCAUUGAGGAUUUUGCAGGAA